rnacentral:lncRNA from 1 species
UUUUUUAUUUUUAUUUUUUAAAAGAUUUUAUUUCUUUAUUCAUGAAAGACAGAGAGGCAGAGAGGCAGAGACAUAAGCAGAGGGAGAAGCAGGCUUCAUGCAGGGAGCCUGAUGUGGGAUUCAAUCCCAGAACUCUGGGAUCAUUCUCCAAGCCAAAGGCAGAUGCACAACCGCUGAGCUAUCCAGGCAUUCCUGUUGGGUCUUUUUAAAAAAUCCAUUCAGGGGAUCCUUGGGUGGCUCAGUGGUUUUAGUGCCUUCCUUCGGCCCAGGGUGUGAUCCUGGAGUCCCAGGAUCGAGUCCUACAUCAGGAUCCCUGCAUGGAGCCUGCUUCUUCCUCUGAUUGUGUCUCUGCCACUCUCUCUGUGUGUGUCUCUCUUGAAUAAAUAAAUAAAUAAUAUUUUUUAAAAAAUCCAUUCAGCUACUCUUUGUGUUUUAAUUUAAUGAAUUUAGUCCAUUUAUAUUUAAUGUGAUUACUGAUAACAAAGUGGCAAUAGUAAGCCAUCACCUAAUUGUUUUGUAUUUCCAUUCUUUCACCCUCUGUUUCUGCCUGUUAUUGUAACUCGCUUUUCUGUGGGGCUGGGCUCUGUUUCCCUUUUAUCUUUUGUGCCUCUACUUUAGAUAUUUGCUUUGUGGUUACCAUGAGGCUAACAUGAGAUGUCUCAUAGAUGAAAUAAUUUUAAGCUGAUAGAAACUUCACUUACAAAAUUCUCACUUGUUACCCCUUUUAUAUUUUUGAUAACACUGUUUUUCUUUUAAAUUGUAUAGUCUUGGGAUCCCUGGGUGGCGCAGCGGUUUAGCGCCUGCCUUUGGCCCAGGGCGCGAUCCUGGAGACCCGGGAUCGAAUCCCACAUCGGGCUCCCGGUGCAUGGAGCCUGCUUCUCCCUCUGCCUGUGUCUCUGCCUCUCUCUCUCUCUCUCUCUCUCUGUGACUAUCAUAAAUUAAAAAAAAAAUAAAUAAAAAAUAAAUUGUAUAGUCUUUAAUUAAUUAUAAUAGCUAUAAUUAUUUUAAUACUCACAUUGACCUUUAUAUUAUAGCUAAGUGGUUAAUAUUCCAUUGUAACCUUACUCAUACGUUCUCAUGUCACGAUUAGUAUCCUUUCACUUCAGCUGAAAGAAGACUUCUCGGCUUUCUCAUAAGGAGGGUCUAGUGUGACAAACUAGCUCAGCUUUUGUCUGGAAAAGUCUACUUCUUCAUUUCUGAAGGAUAACCUUACCAGAGAGAGUAUUUUUGGCUGGCAAUUUUUUUUCUUACAACACUUGUCAUCCCACUCUCUCUUGGCCUGUAGGAUUUCUGCUGAGCAAUCUACUGAUCAUCCAGUGAAGGUUCCUUUGGCAGUUAUAAUAUUUUCUUCUCUGGGUACUUUUAGGAUUAUCUCUAUGUGAUUUUUGACAGUUUUAUUAUAAUGAAUGUAUCUUGGGGAAAACCUUUUGGCAUUGAGACACAAUGGUCUGUCAGCUUCCUGAACUUGGAUGUCCAAGUUUCUCUCCAGGUUUGGGAAGUUUCAGCCAUUAUUUCUUAGAUUAAAAAAAAGCAUAGAGCUUAAGAUUUUAUUUAUUUAUUUGACACAGAGCACAAGCAAGGGGAAUGGCAGAGGGAGAGGAAGAAGCAGGAUCCUUGCUAAGCAGAGAGCCUGAUGCAGGGCUCUAGGAUCCCGACCAGAGCCAAAGACAGCCACUUAACUAACAGCCACCCAGAUGCCCUUCAUGCUUCUCCUUCUGGAACUGUAAUUUUUCUGAUAUAUGUAUUUUUGAUGGAGUCCCAUAGAUAGUCUAUGCUUUUGUAAUGCUCUUUCAAAGUUCCUAUCCUGUAGCUCACUUAUUCUAUCUUCUAUUUUAUCCACUCUGCUGUGGAUGCGUUUUUCAUCCCAUUCAUGGAAUUCUUUAAUCCCAGAAUUUGUUUCUUUUUUUCUCUUUAUUGUUUCUGAAAAAAAAAUCCUUUGUAUGUUUUCUUUGGUCUCCUUAUCAGCUAGAUCACAAACUUUAGCCUUUAUGUUUGGUUAUUGGAGGAUUAUUGUUAGAUUAUUGUUACCUUUUGGUGAUGACAUGUUCCUUGAUUCUUCAUGUUCCUUGUAGUUUUAUGUUGCUGCUCUGAUAUGUGGAGUGGUGAACACCACCUUAGUCUUUGCAAAUUGCCUUCAGGUGGGAUAUACUGUUAGAUCUGGAUGUUCUCUGUCCCUUUGUGGAUACAUUUGCUCCAUGCUUCUGC